GAUGAAGAACGUAGCGAAAUGCGAUACGUAAUGUGAAUUGCAGAAUUCAGUGAAUCAUCGAAUCUUUGAACGCAUAUUGCGCUCUCUGGUAUUCCGGAGAGCAUGCUUGUUUGAGUAUCAGUAAACACCUCAACUCCCUUUUCUUUUUUGAAAUUGGAGCUGGACUUGAGUGAUCCCAACGCUUUCUUCCAAGAAAGUGGCGGGUUGCUUGAAAUGCAGGUGCAGCUGAACUUUUCUCUGAGCUAUAAGCAUAUCUAUUUAGUCUGCCUAAAAAACAGAUUAUUACCUUUGCUGCAGCUAACAUAAAGGAGACUAGUUCUUGUGCUGACUGAUGCAGUAUUCACAGAGACAGCUUCGGCUGACUUUGUAAACUCGAUCUCAAAUCAAGUAAGACUACCCGCUGAACUUAAGCAUAUCAAUAAGCGGAGGA
rnacentral:misc_RNA from 1 species